GACGAACGCUGGCGGCGUGCUUAACACAUGCAAGUCGAGCGGAAAGGCCCUUCGGGGUACUCGAGCGGCGAACGGGUGAGUAACACGUGAGUAAUCUGCCCUUGGCUUUGGGAUAACUACCGGAAACGGUGGCUAAUACCGGAUACGACAACCGUCUGCAUGGGCUGGUUGUGGAAAGUUUUUUCGGCCAGGGAUGUGCUCGCGGCCUAUCAGCUUGUUGGUGGGGUAAUGGCCUACCAAGGCUUCGACGGGUAGCCGGCCUGAGAGGGUGACCGGCCACACUGGGACUGAGACACGGCCCAGACUCCUACGGGAGGCAGCAGUGGGGAAUAUGGGACAAUGGGCGGAAGCCUGAUCCAGCAACGCCGCGUGAGGGAUGACGGCCUUCGGGUUGUAAACCUCUUUCAGUACCGACGAAGCGCCGAUGAUGGUGGUGACGGUAGGUACAGAAGAAGCACCGGCCAACUACGUG
rnacentral:rRNA from 1 species